rnacentral:rRNA from 1 species
AUGCAGCCGUACGCGCAGUCGUCGGUUGUCAACCGCCCCUGCCGGAAGCUCUCCUGCAAGUUCUACGGUCCAUUCAUGGUGGCCGAACGAAUCGGCACCCUGGCGUAUCGUCUUCAACUGCCAGCGGACAGCAGCAUCCAUCCGGUAUUCCAUGUUUCGCAGUUGAAGCCUUAUACUCCUGAUUACACUCCUGUUUUCUCUGAGCCGCCACAAAUACCAGACUUGGUCACCGGCAACGCGGAACCAGUGGCCAUCGUGGAGCGUCGCAUGAUGAAGAAAGGGGAUGCACCAGUGAUCCAGCUACAAGUUCAGUGGUCCAACAGACCCUCGACAGCCACCACUUGGGAAGACUACGACAUCCUCAAAGAGCGCUAUCCAUCGACCUGCAUUUGGGAGGGAGCUCCAUCAGAAGACGGGGGCAAUGUCACGCCUGCAGAUGACGAUCUGCAGCGGACUGCAAGUGUAGUUCAGUUAACUGUUGUUAACUGA